GCCCGGGUGGCGGAAUUGGUAGACGCAGGGGACUUAAAAUCCCUCGCUUCGGCAUACGGGUUCGAGUCCCGUCCCGGGUA
rnacentral:tRNA from 1 species